AUGUCGCGGGACCAGGCGGCUGUCGUCAGGCCGCAGGAGGCCGCGCGGUGGUCGCCGUACCACGCGCCGGACGAGGAGGAGUCGGAGAUCGUGGCGCAGUUCCUGACGGCGCCGUACCCGUGCUUCGACGGCGGCUGCUGCAGCUACGACUUCCUCGGCGAGCCCAACGUGUCGCUCGGGAUCAACACGCUCUCCUACUGCGGCUCCAUCGACCUCAACCUCUCCCGGAAGGAGGAGAGGGUCGGUAAGCGUGGUGGCAAUGGCAACAUGGUCCCCGGCCCUUCGCCCGCUGGUCGCGGUCGCGUCCGCGCCGGUGCUAGUUGCCUCCUCGGCGACCGCGACCGCAAUGGCGACGGUGCCGCCGCAACGCCGAAGCGGAAGGUUUUUCAGGCCGGCAAUGCCCAUGAUCAGGGCGGGGAUCUUGGACGGCACAAGAAGAAGGCUCGAGCUGCAGAUCACAAGGCAACUUCGAUCGACAGCUAUAGCUGCAGAGUUUACCUACGUAAAUCUGUAACAUCCAAGACGGUGCAGAAGCAGAGACCUGGCAGCAGCUACUUCUCGGACGAGUCCAAUUGCUCCCAGGGGAACCGCGGCGAGGAGGCCAACGUCGCCGGCGGCGGCACCAUGAAAGCGCGGGCCGGCCGCGGGUCGGCGGCCGAUCCCCAGAGCCUCUAUGCGAAGAGAAGAAGGGAGAAGAUCAACGACAGACUCCGGGCUUUGCAGAAGCUGGUACCCAACGGAACCAAAGUGGAUCUCAGCACUAUGCUGGAGGAGGCAGUCCUCUACGUCAAGUUCUUGCAGCUACAGAUCAAGGUGCUCAGUUCUGACGAGAUGUGGAUGUACGCGCCGCUCGCUUACAGCGGCAUGAGCUUCGGAAUCGAUCUGAGGAUCACCCCUCAGUGA
rnacentral:rRNA from 1 species